rnacentral:rRNA from 1 species
UGAAUACGAGAUGCUACGGCGUCGAAGCAGUCUAUGUCAUACUUCCAAGAAAAGCUCGCACUGUCAUAAACAAAUAAUGCCUGUACCAUAACCGACACAGGUGGGUAGGUAGAGUAUACUAAGGGGCGCGAGAUAACUCUCUCUAAGGAACUCGGCAAAAUGACUCCGUAACUUCGGGAGAAGGAGUGCCUUAUUUAUAAGGUUGCAAUAACAAGAUCCAAGCAACUGUUUAUCAAAAACACAGGUCUCCGCUAAGUCGUAAGACGAUGUAUGGGGGCUGACGCCUGCCCAGUGCCAGAAGGUUAAAGAAGUUGGUUAGCAUUCGCGAAGCUGAUAACUGAAGCCCUGGUGAACGGCGGCCGUAACAAUAACGGUCCUAAGGUAGCGAAAUUCCUUGUCGGGUAAGUUCCGACCCGCACGAAAGGCGUAAUGAUUUGGAUACUGUCUCGGAGAGGGGCUCGGUGAAAUAGACUUGUCUGUGAAGAUGCGGACUACCUGCACCAGGACAGAAAGACCCUAUGAAGCUUUACUGUAACUUGAGAUUGAAAUUGGACUUUACUUGCGCAGUAUAGGUGGGAGGCGUUGAUAAUAUUCUUGCGGGAUUAUUUGAGCCAUCAGUGAGAUACCACUCUUGUAAUGUUAGAUUUCUAACUUUGUAUCAUUAUCUGGUCAAAGGACAGUUUCAGGCGGGCAGUUUGACUGGGGCGGUCGCCUCCUAAACGGUAACGGAGGCGCACAAAGGUUUCCUCUGAACGGGUAGAAAUCGUAUCUAGAGUGUAAAGGCAUAAGGAAGCUUGACUGUGAGACCUACAAGUCGAGCAGGGACGAAAGUCGGUCUUAGUGAUCUGACGGUGCUGAGUGGAAAGGCCGUCACUCAACGGAUAAAAGUUACUCUAAGGAUAACAGGCUGAUCUCCCCCAAGAGUUCACAUCGACGGGGAGGUUUGGCACCUCGAUGUCGGCUCAUCGCAUCCUGGGGCGGUAGUACGUCCCAAGGGUUGGGCUGUUCGCCCAUGAAAGCGGUACGCGAGCUGGGUUCAGAACGUCGUGAGACAGUUCGGUCCUUAUCCGGUGUAGGCGUUAGAAUAUUGAGAGGAGCCUUCUUUAGUACGAGAGGACCGAGAAGGACAUACCUCUGGUGUACCAGUUAUCGUGCCAACGGUAAACGCUGGGUAGCUAUGUAUGGAGUGGAUAACCGCUGAAAGCAUCUAAGUGGGAAGCCCACCUCAAGAUAAGUAUUCUCA